rfam:Candidatus Bathyarchaeota archaeon B24 scaffold522, whole genome shotgun sequence.
GGGCCGGUAGAUCAGCCUGGUAUGAUCGCCCCCUUGGCAUGGGGGAGGCCGAGGGUUCAAAUCCCUCCCGGUCCA